GGCUCAAUGGUCUAGCGGUAUGAUACUCCCUUCGGGUGGGAAGCAACCCAGCGCUGGCUACAGUGUUCUGAAUAUGGGAGUGGCCCCGGGUUCGAUUCCCGGUUGAGCCC